ACUUAUUCGUAAAAAUUGAUUUCCCAUAAAUGAAUCUUAAUUCAAAAUCUAAGAAUAAAUA
rnacentral:tRNA from 1 species